rnacentral:pre_miRNA from 1 species
AAUUUCAACUGAAAAAGUCAUCAAUAACAAAGUUGUAUAACUCAUCAAGAUCUAUAACUUCUAUUUUGGUCAUUUCUUCAUCCGAUAAAGUGAUUUGUAAGAUUGUUCACAAAAUGUACAUCUUACAAAUCACUUUGUCGGAUGAAGAAAAAAUCAAAAUAGAAGUUAUAGAUCUUGAUGAGUUAUACAACUUUGUUAUUGAUAACUUUUUCAGCUGAAAUC